rnacentral:rRNA from 1 species
GACGAACGCUGGCGGCGUGCCUAAUACAUGCAAGUGGGACGCAAGGGAACACACUGUGCUUGCACACCGUGUUUUCUUGAGUCGCGAACGGGUGAGUAACGCGUAGGUAACCUGCCUAUUAGCGGGGGAUAACUAUUGGAAACGAUAGCUAAUACCGCAUAAUAUUAAUUAUUGCAUGAUAAUUGAUUGAAAGAUGCAAGCGCAUCACUAGUAGAUGGACCUGCGUUGUAUUAGCUAGUUGGUAAGGUAAGAGCUUACCAAGGCGACGAUACAUAGCCGACCUGAGAGGGUGAUCGGCCACACUGGGACUGAGACACGGCCCAGACUCCUACGGGAGGCAGCAGUAGGGAAUCUUCGGCAAUGGACGAAAGUCUGACCGAGCAACGCCGCGUGAGUGAAGAAGGUUUUCGGAUCGUAAAGCUCUGUUGUAAGUCAAGAACGUGUGUGAGAGUGGAAAGUUCACACAGUGACGGUAGCUUACCAGAAAGGACGGCUAA